GCUGGGCAUGGUGGCGUGUGCCUGUAAUCCCAGCUACUCAGGAGGCUGAGGCAGGAGAAUCGCUUGAACCCAGGAGGUGGAGGUUGCAGUGAGCCGAGAUCAUGCCAUUGCACUCCAGCCUGGGCGACAGAGCGAGACUCUCUCUCUC
rnacentral:SRP_RNA from 2 species